rnacentral:rRNA from 1 species
UACGUAGGUGGCAAGCGUUGUCCGGAUUUACUGGGCGUAAAGAGCGCGCAGGCUGUCGUGCACGUCGCGUGUGAAAGCCCCCGGCUCAACUGGGGAGGGUCACGCGAUACUGCUCGACUCGAAGGCAGGAGAGGGAAGUGGAAUUCCCGGUGUAGUGGUGAAAUGCGUAGAUAUCGGGAGGAACACCAGUGGCGAAGGCGACUUCCUGGCCUGUUCUUGACGCUGAGGCGCGAAAGCUAGGGUAGCAAACGGG